AAAGCAUGGAGAUCGCUGCUGGAAAUUAUUCCGAAGAUAGAGUUGUUCAUUCAACUACUGUUUUCAAUAACCUGAAGGACAGGCUAAUGGGAGCUACAAAAGAACUUCUCAAUGUGUUAACCACAAGAAUAGAGGUUUGCCCUGUCUACAAUUGCUGGUAUUUUCUUCUUCUCUUUUCCCUCUGAAAUCAGAUUGCCCACCAGUGGAGUUCUAGUUGGCAACCAACUAAGACAGACGAAGGCCAGCCGCAGACAGCACCUCAACCCAUCAGAUGGAAGUUUCUAUGUUACAGCAGGUGGUUCCACCGCCCAGAGUCUAGCAAUUGCUCUUCACAAUGUAGAAUCCACGAUAUCAGAUCUCAGUGGGAUGUUUACACGUUUGGCCACAAUGGUUGCCCACCAGGGGGAAGUGGCUAUCAGGUAUGCUAGUUUUGCCUCAAUAUUUGAUGUUUUAUGCUUGCAGCUCCAGGGGCUGAAGUUUUUACUUAUUGAAAUUUUGAUUUUGUUGAUUAAAGACAAAUUGGCAGUCUUCAAACUUGUUGCUGGAGUCCUUUUUUUUUUCUUUCUUUUAAUUGAAAUUUUGAUGCAAAGUAGUAAAGAUGCUGGUAUGAUGUAAUCAUGAUUGAUGACAACAUGGAUGAGUUGUUGGCAAAUGUUGCAAGUGCUUGCAAUUCCCUACCGAGGCAUCUUAACAGAAUAUCAUCAAAUAGGUGGCUUUUGAUCAAGAUAUUUGCCAUUAUUAUAAUUUGCCUGAUGAUCUUCUUCUUCAUUGUCGCUUGUUACUGAGACACAACGGUUGAUUGGCUCUGUUGCUGCUUUGGGUAGCGACUACAGUUUACAGUCAAAAUUAAAUGGUUCCAUUGGUGCAGGGAACAAUAAUGGCUUCCCAGGUGCUGUAAAUUUUAUUGGAGAUCUAUUUUACAUUGUCUGUCUUUGUUCGUAUCUUGUAAAGGCUAGGAUUUAAGGCACCGUGACUUUUAUAGGUGGUGACUAUUGAGCUUAUGAAAAGAACAUUUUUUUCAAGUAUUUGAGUUUGUAAUUGUGAUAUUGACUGCAUCACUUAAAGCUAAAAUAUGUAAAAUAUAUAUAGAUAUAUGGCCAAGAUGAUUUUACCUUUCUUGAUAACUCUAUAUUAGCAUGGAUGCAUACAAAGUCAAUGGCUGCUCAGUUUAGAUACUUUGGGGGUUUUGGAUUUUUCUGGUGUAUUGACAGGGUGGCCUUCAAGUGUUUGUUUAUUGGCGUAAGGCAUUUGCUUAAUUUCCAGUGAUUAAUUAUCAGGUAAGUGUAGGGUUUAUGAAAUAUAGAGUGCUUAAUGGAAGUGGGUUAAAACUCUUCACAUGUUCUUGGAGUGUAAGUUUUGAGGAGGCACUAAGACAAGAUGCAGGGAGCAACAUGUGCAUCUCAUGGUGGAAAUAUGAACAUGGGAGCUGCUUGAGGCCUUUAUUCUGUUCUUGGACUGAAAAUUUCUUGUUCAUACGAUAAAUAAGUGGAGAAACUCACUUGUUGGUUAUCUGAUUGAGUCAAUUUCAAAAUUUUCAUCUAGGAAAAUUGCAUAUGCUAGCAGGCCAAGCCUAGCACAUCUGUUUAUUUCUAAGGUGGACCAUAAAAUAUUGGUAGAGUGUGAGUUUUGGAUUUCAAGGUUUGCCAAGAAUAUGCAUCAAUCCUAGCAGUUUGAAGAGUGACUCAAAUUUUCUUUGCUGAGGCUGCCUGGUGCUGAAGCGGAUGAGCAUUAUGUUCUUAUUCAGGCAUCACAUUUUCAGCUAGAGGGGUAAGCGUGCCAGGGUAUACAGGUAUUAGGGCCACAUUAGACUCUGCCCUACAUGGUAAAACCCCAGGUACGUGGGUUCUCUCGUCCCACACGUACUAGACAAUAACAUGACUUUGGCCCAUGGGGGUGGCUCCAAAGAAAUUUGUUUGACGUGGGAGUUAAACCCAGGAUCUCUCGCAUUUUUCAAGAGUUAUCUGUCAAGUUACCCUAAGCCAACUCCCUUGGAGUGCAAGAUUGGAUGUUUAGUUUAGUUAUAUUAUGGCCCUGACGUUUCUAUUGAAGAAGUUCACUUUCCUGAUGACUCUUUGGCAGGUAGAUGAGCAUAAAUGCAUAACCCACAACAGUUUUCUCCUGCUUGACAAUUGUGUAUGCUUUGUGUAUGUGGAAUGGUUUCGUUUACCACUCCAAAUAUUCUGCGUGGCUGUUGCUGGUGUAUUUGUUACAGAGGUGCCGUCAUUAUUACCUGCAUUAUCUCCUAUAGCGGCAGGAUCGGGUAAACUAGCAUCACAAGAAGAGUUCCAUACAUUGCAUCAUAUUGAUGAGGACGGAAGAAAGCACGCCAUGGCUUGUUAUAGUGGGGGACAACAAUGUUAUUCCCCGUUGGCAUUUAUAUGAGAUUAGGAUCUCCCCUUUGGCUCCUGCUGGUCAGAAUCCAAGGUUCAAAUGGUCGGUUGUUGGCAACAAACCAACAAAAAGACUUGUUGCCAUUGUCUGGCAAAUCUUUGGUAAUUCCUUAAAAUUGUUGCAUGUAAUUCCUUAUUUAUGUUUUCCUUUCUUUGUGAGAGAGAGACAAAUCAACAUUUAACAACUCAUAAUUUGCAUCAUUUUGGAAUGUUCUGGGAAUCACUCUUUUCAGUCUUUUGGGAAAUUAUAAUUAGAAGGUAAAAGAUGAGUUUUCCCAUGUAUAUCUGGGGAAAUUAAGAGGAUGCACAUGCACGUAAUUCCUGUUUUGCUUAUUUUCUUUUCUAAUUUUCUUACUCUUUUUUAUGAAGUAAACCUCCAGCUUACCAUAAAUUUUACCUCGGACAACUUUUUUGGGCUUUUUUUCGUUUGAUCUUUUCAUCUACUUUGUAAUCAGUGUUGAAAGCUCUUUAUGCAUGUUAACAAAUUAGAAGUACCCAAGCUUGAGCAAACAAGUUAAUGGCAGACAUGAGACAUAUACAAGUCAGAAAUCCAGAUCUUCAUUUUCCCUGGAAACAUACAUGAAGAGAUUGAUGUACAAGUCCUUGCUAGGCUUAAUGCAGACAGACGUGUAUGCUUACCUGAGUUAACAGUAACACUACAAGCAACAAUGUAGUGUUUGUUGAAUACAAAACAAAGUGUGUGGUGGACAAGUUAUCAUGUUUAGUGGAAUUAUAGUGGCCUUGUUUUUUGAAUUUUCCUUUCAUUUUGAUGGUUUU